GGCGCAGGGCGAGAUCGUAGUACUCGGCCUUGCAGCGCUGGAGCUCGCGGCUGCCCGCCUCGCAGGCCUCCUUGAGAUGCUGCACGCGCUCCUGGAGCUUGCGCAGCAGGCUGUCCUUCACGCGCAGCUCCUCGGCGAGGUCGUCUCUGGAGCUCAGCAGGGCCGUCAGCUCCUGCACCCUCUUCUGCAGCUUCAUCACCUCACUCAUCAGCAGCUGCGUCAGGCCUGACUCACCGGAAGCGUCUGCGGAGCGGGCAGAAUCAGACGGCGCGCCCCUCCCAGGGGCCCCACUCGAGGACCGAGCGGCUCUGGGGUGGCUUGGCCAAGGGGUCAGCUCCCCGCCCAGGGGAUGAACUGAGUUCACCCAUCGGGACCAGGCUCCCCCGUCCCUCGCGCCCUCGUCCGGCGCCGCCUCUCCCGCACGACCCUGUGUAUGGGCGG
rnacentral:lncRNA from 1 species